GCUUAAGAUGAUUCUUAUAGCAUUGCACACGGUCAGUGUGAACCAGAGUGACUUGACACAACAAAUGGCCAAGCAAAUUGUACAUACAAAACGGAAACGACACAGGAAAACGACUUUAGCUAUCUAUGAUAAUCGCAUCAGUAGAAUAUGCCUGACUCUCCUCCACCAGUCAUACAAAGAGAAUGGUCUAAUGCCGCCCCUCAAAAAGAGAGCUGGCCCAAGCAAGCACAGGUUACACCUGAAGCAUGAGGACUUGCAGUGAGUAGUGAACUUCAUCAACAACUACGUAGAGUUGACCCCGCCCUGUGCAACUGGGUCCUGGACUUUCUGGCGGGCCACCGCCAGGUGGUGAGGGUAGGAAACAACAUCUUCACCCCGCUGAUCCUCAACACUGGGGCCCCAAAAGGAUGACACUACAGUGGUAGGCUUGAUUACCAACAACUACAGGGAGGAGGUGAGGGCCCUCGGAGUGUGGUGUCAGGAAAAGAACCUCUCACUUAACGUCAACAAAACAAAGGAGAUGAUCGUGGACUUCAGGAAACAGCAGAGGGAGCACCUCCCCAUCCACGGGACAGUAGUGGAGAAGGUGGAAAGUUAAGUUCUUCGGUGUACACAUCACGGACAAACUGAAAUGGUCCACCCACACAGACAGUGUGGUGAAGAAGGUGCAACAGCGCCUCUUCAACCUCAGGAGACUGAAGAAAUGUGGCUUGUCAUCUAAAACACUCAAACUUUUACAGAUGCACAAUUGAGAGCAUCCUGCCGGGCUCUAUCACCGCGUGGUACAGCAAUUGCACCGCCCACAACCGCAAGGCUCUCCAGAGGGUAGUGCGGUCUGCACAACGCAUCACCGGGGGCAAAUUACCUGCCCUCCAGGAGACCUACAGCACCUGAUGUCACAGAAAGGCCAAAAAGAUCAUCAAGGACAACAACCACCUGAGCCACUGCCACAGAAGGCGAGGUGCACUAUCCUCCUGACCCUAUGCAGCUGUGACAGGUGUCAACAUCCCACAGCUGGUUGGACUGGAGGAUGAUAUGGUGCUGGUGGAAAGCUGAGGCUGGCAACAACACCUGACUCCGUACUUCAGGCCGCUGCCACAGAUCAAGCAGUACCAGCACUUCAGGAGCGUUCGAACUCAGUCGGGACCAGGUUUCAGCUGCUGCGCAAUGAUGACAUCCAUCCUCCCAUAUAUGGUCUGCCUGUACAAACACCACCAGGACUGAACACAGCUAGACAAACAUAUAUUUUUGAGAAGAUCAGGGAGUUUUGCGACGAAGAGGCUAUGGACAUCACAUGCCCUGCACCAAAGUCAAGGGCAGGACAGAAACAGGCUCUCCGAAUAUAGAUUCCCUUGUUCAUGUGUGGUUUGGACGGACCAGUCAUCAGCACUAUCUGCAAUGCCUCUAUUCAAAUGACUCUCUCCUAACACACAUGCCAUACGUUCCUGCUACUAUUUCUUGUUUUAUUCCUGCUGUUCAGCCACUUUACCACUGAUUGUAUGCAUACAAUUACCUCGUCUAUCACUGAUAUCAUUAUUCAUAUUGUUCUUGUACAUACUGUAUAUUAUUUUACUUAUAUUGACACUAUUUCUGAUAUUGCUACUAUACAAGUAACCAUUUGGCUGUACCGUUUACACCUUCUGUAGAGACCCAUCCACUUAGCAAGAUGUGGCCAGUUGUGUAAAGUACUAAAGUAAAAAUACUUAAUGUUUUGGGGAGGGUAUCUGUACUUUACCAUUUAUAUUUGUUGCAACGUUUACUUUUACUUCACUACAUUCUGAAAUAAAAUAAUGUACUUUUUACUCCAUAUAUUUCCCUGACACCUGACACCCAAAAGUACUUUACAUUUUGACAGGAAAAUUGUCCAAUUCAAACUUAUCAAGAGAAAAUCCCUGGUCAUCCCUACUGCAUCUGAUCUGGCAGACUCACUAAACACAAAUGCUUAAUUUGUAAAUUACGCCUGCGUUUUGGAGUGUGCCCCUGGCUAUCCGUCAAUAAAAAAUAAAAAUGCCGUCUGGUUUGCUUUAUAUAAUGAAUUUGAAAUGAUUUAUACUUUUGAUACUUAAGUAUCAAAAGUAAAUGGAAUCGCUAAAAUGUACUUAAGUAUUUUUUUUAAACCAAAUAUUUUUACUCAAGUAGUAUUUUACUGGGUGACUUUUACUUUUACUUGAGUCAUUUUCUAUUAAGGUAUAUUUACUUUUACUCAAGUAUGACAAUUUUGUUAUUUUUCCACCACUGGAUGUGGCUCGGGUUAUAGCAUUUCUUUCACAUGACCCAUCAAUUUAGACAAGUGUGUCUGGGUAAGCGUCAUCUAAUAUUUAUUAAAUAUUUUU
rnacentral:lncRNA from 1 species